AGAUUCCUUCUCUCAAUCACUAAGAAAUACAAGCCAGCCAAACACGUGGUCACUCUCUCACCACACACAGCCUUGGUUUUGAAUCUGUGAUGAGCACUUGGCUCUGCGCACGCCAUCAGAUCAGCUACCAGCAUCCCGCCUCAAGCACCUGGGCUCAGGUUCCAGACGAUUGUACGUGACAUACGGCAGAGUUUUGAGCCCACACACAGACAGUCUUCUAGAUGCCUUCUGAUCAAGUUAGAGAACUCUCAGCUCCUUCUCCAGCACCGUG